CUUGCAGUAAUUUGGUUGUUUCCUUUGUCCUUCUGUUUUUAGGUUUACCAGGUGGUUCAUUGGUUUUCUUGUUUGCUUUAUUUAGUUAUCUAGUUGUGUGGAUAAACAUUCAUCACCUUUCAUUUCAUAAUUUGUCUCAAUUUUCUUUAUUUUAACCUGGGUUUUAAAUCAUUGUUACGUUCCUCAUACCCUUUAACAUCUUUUAGUUUGUAACAGCUAUGCUGAAGUUAAAACAUUUUCCCAUUUUGUCAAGGGCUCACAGAUGGUAUAAGGAGAGUAAUUUUUAUGGUUCUGUUGGUUUUUCUUUUUACUGUUAGGUUGCCCAAUGUCCUGAAUGCCAGGCCAAUAGUGUGGUGAUUAAACAAGAAGUCGUUAAUCAACCCAUUAAAGUCACUACACCAUUUGAACUUGUGGGUAUGGAUCUAAUUGGCAAACUGAGGACCACUCAAAGUGGAAACCAGUACAUAUGUAUGCUGAUUGAUUAUUUAACAAAGUGGACCCAGGCUUAUGCCAUUAAGUCCAAGACUGCGCAGGAGGUCAGUCAGUGCUUACUGAAGUUCUUCUAUCAGUUUGAAGCACCAAAAAGGAUACUGACAGACCAAGGCCGGGAGUUUGUUAAUGAAAUCAACAGCAACGUGUGCAAGAUUCUGGGCAUCAAAAGAAGCCUGUGCGCCCCAUAUCAUCCACAGACCAAUGGACUGGUGGAGAAGAUGAAUGGGACGAUCCAGAGGUAGGCCUAUAUCUAUUUUAACAUUUUAUUCAUAUCACUCUGGAAUAUGUCUUGUAUAAAAAAUUGUUUCUUUGCAGGGCACUGGCCAAACUGGUCAAUGACAGGCCAGAUGUGUGGGACCAGCAUUUAGAUGCUGUAAUGUUUGGCCUGCGAACAAAGCGGCAAGUUACAACAAAGUUCUCACCUUUCUAUUUAAUGUUCGGGAGAGAGGCAAGGUAUCCCUCCGAGAUCCCAGAGGAUUACAUGGUAAAAUGAAUUGCACAUAUUGGAGAAAAUAUUUAUAGGUGUACAGAACAGAAAAUUGAAUUUGAGCCAUGUGGGCCUUAACAGUAGUGUAAUAACUCAUCUAUCAGACAAUGUAGCCCAAACUUUGUGCAUUAUACAUCAGCCUGUUCACGAUGUAUCAGCCACUGAUAAUGGAUUCGUUAUCCCUCAAUCAGACGUCUGAGACCCGCACACACACAGCGAGCUCGGUCUCGCCCCAAACAUUGAAUAUCCCACCCACUCAAUAAUGACCAAUCAGAUUUGCUUUCCUUACUUGGGUAAACUUGUGUGGGAAUUCAUGAAAAUUCUACAUACCAAACAGGACAAACUGCCAUUUCUGUACACCUUUAAUAGCUUUUAACUAAGAGCAAUGUAGUGCUUUAACAGGGAUUUGAUUUAAUUGCUGUUUAAUUUGAUUUUUAUUUCAUUUGAAAGGUGGAUAGCAGUGUGGAGGACAACCUCUCUGUUGAGGAAGUCACAAAAAACAUCCUUAAACUGGAUGAUGCACUUCAAAGUGCCAUCCAAAACAUCAGCAACAGCCCCAAACCCAGGAAGACUAAAAAAAGUGCUGUCAACCUUCAGGUUGGCAUGAAGGUGCUAAGAAUGAAUGUGAGGAGCCAGCAGAGGAAAGGAGGAAAAUUAGAGGCACAUUAUCUUGGGCCCUACACAAUUUCCUCCAUCACUGGCAAAAGUGUGGAUCUUGUAGACCCAAGUGGGACUACUAUCCCCAAAAUUAAUAUGGAUCACCUUGUCCCUUAUACUGAGGGUAAAGACAGAGUUCCACACAAACUCUCCACCGGUCCCACAGCAGCUCCAGCUUCCACUGCAGGUCCCACAGCAGCUCCAGCUUCCACUGCAGG